rnacentral:rRNA from 1 species
GAUGAACGCUGGCGGCGUGCCUAAUACAUGCAAGUCGAGCGAACAGACGAGGAGCUUGCUCCUCUGACGUUAGCGGCGGACGGGUGAGUAACACGUGGAUAACCUACCUAUAAGACUGGGAUAACUUCGGGAAACCGGAGCGAAUACCGGAUAAUAUAUUGAACCGCAUGGUUCAAUAGUGAAAGACGGUUUUGCUGUCACUUAUAGAUGGAUCCGCGCCGCAUUAGCUAGUUGGUAAGGUAACGGCUUACCAAGGCAACGAUGCGUAGCCGACCUGAGAGGGUGAUCGGCCACACUGGAACUGAGACACGGUCCAGACUCCUACGGGAGGCAGCAGUAGGGAAUCUUCCGCAAUGGGCGAAAGCUUGACGGAGCAACGCCGCGUGAGUGAUGAAGGUCUUCGGAUCGUAAAACUCUGUUAUUAGGGAAGAACAAAUGUGUAAGUAACUAUGCACGUCUUGACGGUACCUAAUCAGAAAGCCACGGCUAACUACGUG